GUACACACCGCCCGUCAAACCAUGAGAGUUGGCAACACCCGAAGUCGGUAGUCUAACCGCAAGGAGGACGCCGCCGAAGGUGGGGUUGAUGAUUAGGGUUAAGUCGUAACAAGGUAUC
rnacentral:rRNA from 1 species